rnacentral:misc_RNA from 1 species
GUUACAAUUAUAUUGUUUUGACGCUGAUUGCUAACAUGUGAGUUAAAAAGUCCUACUGGCAGGCAAGCCUACCGAGGAAACAAAGGGUACGCAAAAAACAGGGUUAAAUAGAACCGGUCAGACCGGCCUAAAAUACGUAAUGAUCCUUCCGCAGGUUCACCUACGGAAA